rnacentral:rRNA from 1 species
AUUGAACGCUGGCGGCAUGCUUUACACAUGCAAGUCGAACGGUAACAGGCCUUCGGGUGCUGACGAGUGGCGAACGGGUGAGUAAUGCAUCGGAACGUACCCAGAGGUGGGGGAUAACGCAGCGAAAGCUGUGCUAAUACCGCAUGUGAUCUGAGGAUGAAAGCGGGGGACCGCGCAGCAAUGUUUGGCCUCGCGCCUUUGGAGCGGCCGAUGUCGGAUUAGCUAGUUGGUGGGGUAAAGGCCUACCAAGGCGACGAUCCGUAGCUGGUCUGAGAGGACGAACAGCCACACUGGGACUGAGAAACGGCCCAGACUCCUACGGGAGGCAGCAGUGGGGAAUUUUGGACAAUGGGCGCAAGCCUGAUCCAGCAAUGCCGCGUGCGGGAAGAAGGCCUUCGGGUUGUAAACCGCUUUUGGCAGGAACGAAACGGUGUCCGCUAAUACCGGGCGCUAAUGACGGUACCUGCAGAAUAAGCACCGGCUAACUACGUG